rnacentral:lncRNA from 1 species
ACUUCACACAAGUACUUAAAUAAAUCAUACAUCAUUCAGAGUACACACAUAGUCCGACUACGGACGAAGCCAAAAGAAAAAGAAGAUAACCCAACUGCUAGAUCCCCGAUCGUCCCAACUGGGCUCCACUACUGAUCAACAAGAAACAACACAUAGCAACAACUAAGAUCUUCGUUGAGCUCCCAUCUGAGCUAGGUAGCAUCCUUUGCACUGGUAUCAUCGGCACCUGCAACUGUUGUGAUAGUAUCUGGUGAGUCACGAGGACUCAGCAAUCUCAAAACCCGCGAGAUCAAGACUAUUUAAGCUUAUAGGAAGGAUGGGGUAAUGAGGUGGAGCUGCAGCAAGCACUAAGCAAAUAUGGUGGCUAACAUACGCAAAAGAGAGCGAGAAGAGGAGCAAAGGAACGGUCGUCAACUAGAAAUGAUCAAGAGGUGAUCCUGACCUCCUACUUACGUCAAACAUAACCCAAAACCGUGUUCACUUCCCGGACUCCGCCGAGAAGAGACCAUCACGGCUACACACGCGGUUGAUGCGUUUUAAUUCGGAUCUGGUGUCAAGUUGUCUACAACCGGACAUUAACAAAUUCCCAUCUGCCACAUAACCGCGGGCACGGCUCUCGAAAGUUUAUACCCUGCAGGGGUGUUUCAACUUAGCCCAUCACAAGCUCUCACGGUCAACGAAGGAUAUUCCUUCUCCCAGGAAGACCCGAUCAGUCUCGGAAUCCCGGUUUAUAAGACAUUUCGACAAUGGUAAAACAAGACCAGCAAGACCACCCGCUGUGCCAACAAAUCCCGAUAGGAGCUGCACAUAUCUCGUUCUCAGGGCACACCGGAUAAGCUAAGCGUACAGGUACCAACGUAAUCCAAGUUGCCAAGGAAUGGUCCCGCACGGUGCUCUAGUUUGGACCAACACUCGAAGGAGCACUGGCCCGGGGGGGUAAAAUAAAGAUGAUCCUUGAGUCUGCAGAACCCAAGGGAAAAAGGCUUAGGUGGCAAAUGUUAAAACCAAGGUUGGGCCUUGCUGGAGGAGUUUUAUUCAAAGCGAACUGUCAAGGGGGUCCCAUAAAUCACCCAACCGCGUAAGGAACGCAAAAUCAAGGAACAUAACACCGGUAUGACGGAAACUAGGGCGGCAAGAGUGGAACAAAACACCAGGCAUAAGGCCGAGCCUUCCACCCUUUACCAAGUAUAUAGAUGCAUUAAUUAAAUAAGAGAUAUUGUGAUAUCCCAACAUAAUCUUGUCCAACAUGGAGCAAUCUUCAACUUCACCUACAACUAGCAACGCUAUAAGAGGGGCUGAGCAAAGCGGUAACAUAGCCAAGCAAUGGUUUGCUAGGAAGGGUGAAAAUGUUAGAGGCUGACAUGGCAAUUUGGGAGGCUUGGUAAAACAAGUGAUAGGUAGCGCAGCAUAGCGAUAGAACGGAGCAACUAGCAAGCAAAGAUAGAAGUGAUAUCAAGGGUAACGGUCAUCUUGCUUGAGAUCCCGCAAGGAAGAAGAACGAGUCCAUGAAGAAGACAAACG